CGGGGUGAGUAAUGUAUGGGGAUCUGCCUGAUGGCGGGGGAGUAACUACUGGAAACGGUAGCUAAUACCGCAUAAUGCCUGCGGACCAAAGCGGGGGACCUCCGGGCCUCGCGCCAUCAGAUGAACCCAUAUGGGAUUAGCUUGUAGGUAAGGUAACGGCUUACCUAGGCGACGAUCCCUAGCUGGUCUGAGAGGAUGAUCAGCCACACUGGGACUGAGACACGGCCCAG
rnacentral:rRNA from 1 species